UACGGAGGGUGCAAGCGUUGUUCGGAAUCACUGGGCGUAAAGGGCGCGUAGGCGGCUUGGCAAGUCAGAUGUGAAAGCCCACGGCUUAACCGUGGAAGUGCAUUUGAAACUGCCUGGCUUGAGUAUCAGAGGGGAAGGUGGAAUUCCCGGUGUAGAGGUGAAAUUCGUAGAUAUCGGGAGGAAUACCGGUGGCGAAGGCGACUUUCUGGCUGAAUACUGACGCUGAGGCGCGAAAGCGUGGGGAGCAAACAGG
rnacentral:rRNA from 1 species